GGGGAGGGGGGGGGGGUGCUGAUACAUGCAAGUCGAGCGAACGGAGAAGGAGCUUGCUCCUUUGACGUUAGCGGCGGACGGGAGAGAAACACGUGGGCAACCUGCCAUAUAGAUUGGGAUAACUCCGGAAACCGGGGCUAAUACCGGAUAAUUUUUUUAACCUCAUGGUCAAAUAUUGAAAGAUGGUUUCGGUUGUCAUUAAAGGAUUGGCUCGCCGCGUAUUACCGAGUUGGUGAGGUAACGGCUCGCCAAGGAACUUUGCGUGCCG
rnacentral:rRNA from 1 species